UAAGCGUGCGCAGGCGGUUUGUAAGUCUGUCGUGAAAGACCCCGGGCUCAACCUGGGAAUUGCGAUGGAGACUGCAAGGCUUGAAUCUGGCAGAGGGGGGUAGAAUUCCACGUGUAGCAGUGAAAUGCGUAGAGAUGUGGAGGAACACCGAUGGCGAAGGCAGCCCCCUGGGUCAAGAUUGACGCUCAUGCACGAAAGCGUGGGGAGCAAACAGGAUUAGAUACCCCUGU
rnacentral:rRNA from 1 species